GGCAAAUAAAAGCUGGGUGGAACGGAGUGUAGAGUCUUUAGAAUUAGUAGUUGAAAAUUCCGACAGUGAGGAGGAAAGAGUGAAGAGUUUCAAGCAAAAGAAAGCCAGCUCCGCUCACUUGAAGAAGUUACAACAGGAGCUCAAUGGAUUGCUUUCACGACCACUCCGUCCGAAAACAUUUUCACAUCAGUAUCCAACUGCAGUGGGUUCUUAUCAGUUUCCUUGGACACUUGUUUUUCUGGUUGGUGUUACACAUCUUAUACAAAAUCAAUUUGAAGAAUUGGCUAAGCACAAUGGAGAUGGCAACUUAGUUUCAGGUGAUAACAAGAGACAGAAGAUGUUGGUUAUCGGUCAAGAUUGCGUAGAACCACUACAGGCACUUCGGAGUGCUGGUCGCGAGGUGCUCAUGGAUGGAAAAGAGAUGGCUGAAAAACGAAGAAAUCCCUAAAGUUUGAGAAGAAAAAGGAAAGAGGAG